rnacentral:rRNA from 1 species
GACGAACGCUGGCGGCGUGCUUAACACAUGCAAGUCGAACGCUGAAGCUCAGCUUUUGUUGGGUGGAUGAGUGGCGGACGGGUGAGUAACACGUGAGUAACCUGCCUCCUUCUUUGGGAUAACGCCCGGAAACGGGUGCUAAUACUGGAUAUUCACUGGUCUUCGCAUGGGGGGUGGUGGAAAGGGUUUUUCUGGUGGGGGAUGGGCUCGCGGCCUAUCAGCUUGUUGGUGGGGUGAUGGCCUACCAAGGCUUUGACGGGUAGCCGGCCUGAGAGGGUGACCGGUCACAUUGGGACUGAGAUACGGCCCAGACUCCUACGGGAGGCAGCAGUGGGGAAUAUUGCACAAUGGGCGCAAGCCUGAUGCAGCGACGCCGCGUGAGGGAUGGAGGCCUUCGGGUUGUGAACCUCUUUCGCUCAUGGUCAAGCCGCAACAAUGGUUGUGGUGAGGGUAGUGGGUAAAGAAGCGCCGGCUAACUACGUG